ACCACCGGCGAGUGUCGCGGCCUCAGAGGCGCCACGCUACACAUCAGCCCCGACAGCUGUCUCUACCACACACAACAGCCUAAGUGGGUGGUAUUCGCGAGCGUCCAAAGCACCGGCGAUAAGACGUUGAUGCGUGAACUGACUUUGACCCAGGAGACGUGGCUUCUUGAGGUGGCGCCGCACUACUACCGGCAGACCUAAUACACUGGCGAUUGAUAUUAUUAUGGUAUUCGCCAGCGUCCAAAGCGCCGGCGACAAGACGUUGAUGCGCGAACUGACGGUGACCCAGGAGGCGUGGCUGCUCGAGGUGGCGCCGCACUACUACCGGCAGACCUAAUACACUGGCGAUUGAUAUUAUUAUGGUGUUCUCCAGCGUCCAAAGCGCCGGCGACAAGACGUUGAUGCGUGAACUGACGGUGACCCAGGAGGCGUGGCUGCUCGAGGUAGCACCACACUACUACCGGCAGACCUAAUACACUAUGAUAUGGGAUAUGUGAGUUUCAUUCCAUUCCUAUCCACAUCCACAUUACACGUUCCUAUAGUGACAGAGACUGGAGACUGAGACUGGAGACCGAGACAAGAGACUACGUCAAAAAACCGAGACUAGACUUGUCUCUGUCGCACGGUUCGUAUGGUAACAGAGACCUAAUACACUGGCGAUGUAUAUUAUUAUGUGAGUUUCAUUCCAUUCCUACCCACACCCACGUUCCUUAAGGCGGGUCGUAUAGUGACAGAGACAAGAGACAAAGACAAGAGACUGAGAUAAGACCGGUGUCUUAUCUUGUCUCGGUAGACAAGAGACCGAGACAUGAGACCGAGACCGAAACAAGAUACUGACACAGGAGACCGAGA